CUGCAGAUGGAUCAUUUCGAUGAAAACCUUUUUUCUUGAGGUGUUGCUCGCACCUGUCUAACUAAAUCGAGCUACCACAUUUUAACACGGUUGCAUCGGUUGGCUGUCAAACAGUGCGCGCGGCGAUUUAUUUCGCCCACCGCGCCUUGCGAGACGGUCGACAUUUACCAAAAACACUGUUGAUACCAUAGGAUUUGAACGCAGAUGAAACUCGACUGGUAAUGCGGUCGUCUAAAAUCUAAAAA
rnacentral:misc_RNA from 1 species